UCUUACAAAUGAGCAAAGCAAGUGGUUUCCUGAAAUGGAAUCUACUCCUUGUGAAGAUGCUAUGAA
rnacentral:pre_miRNA from 1 species